GAAGAAUCAGGCGAAGAAGGAAGAUCCCAUUGUUAGAAUUGAGCCGCAAGAGAGCCACAGCGAAGACAACCGAGAACCGCGAUCUUGGCGUCGGGAUAAUGGCGCGAAGAAAGAUAAUAAGGCGGUGCGCAAGCAUGCGAGACCCUAGACGGACCAUUCUUGGCAAACGUGCCAUUUUUCAAAUUACCAGACGAAGUGUAUUUUUCAAAUUUCCCGGACGUGCCAUUUUUCAAAUUCGCCAGACGUAGUGUAUUUUUCCAAUUUCCCGACGAAGUGUGACCAAAUUCGAUUUGUAUGCGUGCAUUUUCUUUUAAAUAUUUUUGGAGUUUAUGGCAAAAUUUGCAGUCUUCAGGGUCGAGAGCAGAGUCAGGAAAUAGCCGCAGGAAUCAAAAUCCCAAAGAAGAACGAAGCUUUUGGAAUUUUCAUUUGGUAGCCCAUCCUCGUGUAUUUUGACGUACCUUUUGCAUGUUUGGAUAGUGAUUAGAUAUCGUAAUACAAUUGUGUAACAAAAUUCAAA